rnacentral:rRNA from 1 species
CCUACGGGCGGCAGCAGUGGGGAAUAUUGGGCAAUGGAGGAAACUCUGACCCAGCAAAGCCGCGUGAAUGAUGAAGGUCUUCGGAUUGUAAAGUUCUUUUCUAAGGGAGGAAGAAAGUGACGGUACCUUAGGAAUAAGACUCGGCUAAAUACGUGCCAGCAGCCCCGGUAAUACGUAGGAGGCGAGCGUUAUCCGGAAUGACUGGGGUUAAAGGGUGCGUAGGUGGUUUGGCAAGUUAGUAGCGUAACUCCAAGGCUCAACCUUGGCACUACUACUAAAACUGUUGGACUUGAGUGCAGGAGAGGCAGCCGGAAUAAGUAGUGUAGCGGUGGAAUGCGUAGAUAUUA